rnacentral:rRNA from 1 species
AUUGAACGCUGGCGGCAUGCUUUACACAUGCAAGUCGAACAGUAACAGGCCGCAAGGUGCUGACGAGUGGCGAACGGGUGAGUAAUGCAUCGGAACGUGCCCAGUCGUGGGGGAUAACUACUCGAAAGAGUAGCUAAUACCGCAUACGAUCUAUGGAUGAAAGCGGGGGACCGUAAGGCCUCGCGCGAUUGGAGCGGCCGAUGUCAGAUUAGGUAGUUGGUGGGGUAAAGGCUCACCAAGCCAACGAUCUGUAGCUGGUCUGAGAGGACGACCAGCCACGCUGGGACUGAGACACGGCCCAGACUCCUACGGGAGGCAGCAGUGGGGAAUUUUGGACAAUGGGCGCAAGCCUGAUCCAGCAAUGCCGCGUGCAGGAAGAAGGCCUUCGGGUUGUAAACUGCUUUUGUACGGAACGAAACGGCUCUGGUUAAUACCCGGGGCUAAUGACGGUACCGUAAGAAUAAGCACCGGCUAACUACGUG